UACGGGGGGAGCAAGCGUUGUUCGGAUUUACUGGGCGUAAAGGGCGCGUAGGCGGCCACCGCAAGUCGAUUGUGAAAUCUCCGGGCUUAACCCGGAAAGGUCAACCGAUACUGCGGGGCUAGAGUGCGGAAGGGGCAACUGGGAAUUCUUGGGUGUAGCGGUGAAAUGCGUAGAUAUCAAGAGGAACACCUGCGGCGAAGGCGGGUUGCUGGGCUGACACUGACGCUGAUGUGCGAAAGCUAGGGGAGCGAA
rnacentral:rRNA from 1 species